GUGUGCUACUUGGAACCACCCCUAACCUAGUAUCAGACAAGAGCUCUGAGCAACUGAACUAUGAAGUUGCUGUCAGGAAUAGCUAUUUUCCUUACUUUGGGUACUAUGUGUGAUGCUAAGACCACACAGCCCAGUACAAUGCAGAAUAUUGAAGGAGAAACUGUGUUUCUUCACUGUGAACACUCUACUAUCAGUGGAGCUGAAUACAUCUAUUGGUAUCGACAGAUUCUCCACAAGGGUCCAGAGUAUCUGAUUCAUAGUCUGAGAACAAAUGAGACCAAAGGAAGAGUUUCUUUGAUCAUGGCACCAGACAGAAAGUCCAGCACCUUGGUCCUGCCCCAGGUCACCGUGAGAGACUCUGCUGUGUACUACUGCAUCCUGCGAGACACACACUGA